UACGGGGGGAGCAAGCGUUGUUCGGAUUUACUGGGCGUAAAGGGCGCGUAGGCGGUCAGCACAAGUCAGUUGUGAAAUCUCCGGGCUUAACUCGGAACGGUCAACUGAUACUGUGCGACUAGAGUGCAGAAGGGGCAACUGGAAUUCUCGGUGUAGCGGUGAAAUGCGUAGAUAUCGAGAGGAACACCUGCGGCGAAGGCGGGUUGCUGGGCUGAUACUGACGCUGAGGCGCGAAAGCUAGGGGAGCGAACGGG
rnacentral:rRNA from 1 species